rnacentral:rRNA from 1 species
UACGUAGGGGGCUAGCGUUGUCCGGAAUCAUUGGGCGUAAAGCGCGUGUAGGCGGCCCGGUAAGUCCGCUGUGAAAGUCGGGGGCUCAACCCUCGGAUGCCGGUGGAUACUGUCGGGCUAGAGUACGGAAGAGGCGAGUGGAAUUCCCGGUGUAGUGGUGAAAUGCGUAGAUAUCGGGAGGAACACCAGUGGCGAAGGCGACUACCUGGCCUGUUCUUGACGCUGAGGCGCGAAAGCUAGGGGAGCAAACGGG